UACGUAGGGUGCAAGCGUUGUCCGGAAUUAUUGGGCGUAAAGAGCUCGUAGGCGGCUUGUUGCGUCGUCCGUGAAAACUUGUGGCUUAACCACAGGCUGGCGGUCGAUACGGGCAGGCUGGAGUUCGGUAGGGGAGACUGGAAUUCCUGGUGUAGCGGUGAAAUGCGCAGAUAUCAGGAGGAACACCGGUGGCGAAGGCGGGUCUCUGGGCCGAUACUGACGCUGAGGAGCGAAAGCGUGGGGAGCGAACAGG
rnacentral:rRNA from 1 species